CCCUGGGUGGUGCAGAUGGUUAACACACUUGGCUGCUAACCAAUAGGUUGGUGGUUCAACUCCACUCCGAAGCA
rnacentral:tRNA from 1 species